rnacentral:lncRNA from 1 species
UAGCUUUUGGAGGAAGUGAGGCCCUGCCACACCUUGAUUUUGGAUUUUUGGCUUCCAGACUGAGAUGUUAAUGCCUGUUGUUAACAGAAAACAAAUAUUAUGGGAAACAUCAAAUUUAAUAGUGAAAAUUUAGAAGCAUGAUCGUAUCAUGAGUUGAGGAAAAGACAAGAAUGCCUGCUACCAUUUCUAAUCUAUCUUUUUUUUUUUUUUUAAGUCCUAACUAAUCCAAGAAAGCAACAAAAGUCAGGAAAGAAAAGCCAGAAAUGUUCUUGUUUUCAAUAAAUGGGGUGGAAGUGGCAUAAUAAUCACAAUACAUCAUUUAUUCUAGGGAGUUGGGGAUCUACCGCUUUUCAAAUUUGUCUGUAGUGCUAGAACACCUAAGAAUCCUGGGGACAAAUCAGAAUUUUUGCCUGUCCACUCUUUGGGCUUCUCUUUGUAUUUCCAUGGCAUGUUUUCCCCAUCAUUCACCUCACUCUGACUUUGGUUCCCUGAUUAGAAAAAAUUGUAAAGUUCUAUGGUCAUUGGAAUUGGCAUUCUGUUAUUAUAUUUGAUGGACAUAGAAAUUGUUGCUUUAAUUUAUCGUCAUCAUAGUAAACAUGUUAUAAGUAUUAAAUUAUACUUAUUAACACUUCAUGUUUCUGAAAGUAAUUUAUCUUUUAAAUAUAAUGUGUGUAUGACUUCAGAUAUUAAAUGCAUAUUUAUAUACCCAUUUUAAUCAAAUUAUAGCAUAGCAUAUCUCUUCAGCAAUUGAGAUGACCACAAAAUAAGUCAAAGUCUAUAUAACUUGGCACUAAUUAACUUGAGUAGAAAUUGAAACUGGAAUAAUGCUUGAAACUGGAUGUUGACUUCUUUUGGGGGUGCAAGCUGAAUGUGGAGUAUAUGGAAGUUCCCCAGCUAGGGGUUGAAACAGGACUGCAGACUUUGCCACAGCCACAGCCACAACAAUGCCAGAUCCGAGCUGCAACUGCAUCCUACAGCACAGCUCAUGGCAAUGCUGGAUCCUUAACCCACUGAGUGAGGCCAGGGAUCAAACCUGCAUCCUAUGGUUACUCGUUGGGUUCCUUACCACUGAGCCACAAAAGGAACUCAUUUUAUUUUUAAUAUUCAUUUUCUGAGGAAGGAAUAUUAUCAAAGAUCAGAAAAGAGGAAGUUAAAAAAAAAAAGCCACAAGGGGAACUCCCAGAUAUUGAGCUCUUAAAGGGAGUGGGUACCCAAACCAUGACUGUUCUUUUUCCUAAAAUAUAGAGAAGGAAUUGGAAUAUGUAUAUGAUACUUCGAGUGCUUUGGAUGUGUCCAAGUAGGUCCAAGUAUGGCCACAUUGUUCUAGAGUUUGGAAAUUGGUAGAAACUAAGUCUACUUCUGUGAUUACCUUUGUGGUCUUGGACAACUCGGUUUAUUUAUCUGGCCCUCAGUUUCCUCCCCCUAUAAAAUGAUUAAACUGAAUUAGGUUAUCUCUCAAAUGAUUUCCAUUUCUAAAAUUCCUUGAGUGGUUAGGCACAAAACAAUGAUAUCUACUAUUAUUCAGAUAUUUUUUUAAUAUCUAUAAUGAUGUUAAAUAUUUUACUUACAUUAUUUUAUUAAAAUAAUAUAUUUUAUUAAAACAUCACAUCAUUUCUCUGAGGAAGAAAUUAUAAGUCCAGAUUUAUAAAUGAGAGAACAAAGAGAGAGAGAGAAAAACUGGACAAAGCCAUACAAUUAUAAAAUCACAAAGGUAGAAUUUGAACCAUAGUCAUCUUGGUAUUAAUCACUAUAUUAUCCUACAAACAUUCAGCCUUAAUUGUUCUGAUUUAAUAAAUAUAAUUAUUCCAAUUAUCCAGUUAUUCUAAAGUGUCCCAUCCAGGUCUGUCCUAUAUUCCAAAAAAGCAAUAACUUAAAUUGUGCUGCUGAACCAACUGUCAGUAUUAAUCUUCCCAGCCCUGAACAAAAAUGAAGUGAUGUGAUACUCACAUGCAACCUGAAGUUGCCUGCUUCUCUCUACCACUAGAUGUAAACGUCACUAUCAUGAUAUGCACAUACCAUCUAACAUGUUAUACAGUGUAUUUAUUUAUUAUGUUUAUUGUUUAUUUUCUGUAUGUCCUAUACAAUGUAAGUUUGGCAGGGAAAAGAUAUUUGUCUCUCUUGUUUACUAAAUCCUAGUACUCAGAACCAUACCUGGUACAUAAUAAAUGCCCAAUAGAUAUUUAAUAAAUAGAAGAACAAAUAAUCAGGGGUAGAUAUUUACACCCAAAUUUAUAUGUAUACAUGACUUAAUUAUGUGAUUGAAUUGGAGUUGCACAUAUAUUUUUACUGUUUUACAAUAUGUAGUUUUCUUUCCAAUCACUUUCAAUAAACUCUGUCUUAUUUUUAAGUCUUGAGUUGGAUUGUAAAGAUCUAGAAAUAAGUUCUGAUGUCUGGACUGUUGAAAUUGCUUGAUAACAGUAAUUAAGUCUCUCUGGGUAGAUCAUGCAAGCAGACCUCUUACAUUAUUAGAGUAUCUACUCAUGUAUAAGGAUUGUCUUUUCUGUUUGCUUGUUCUAAAUGUUACACCUGGACCUCCCACACUUUAAAAGUUAAGGUUAGUGGCCAAGCAGACUUGGAAAUAUCCCAUUUAGAUGAUCACAUAAUAACCGUUUAAUGUGUUUUUGUUGAUUGAUUGUAAAUUGGAGUCAACUUAUUUGAAAUUAUCUCUCUGCCAGUGAAGCUUCAUGUGAGAUUCAAUAUUCAGGUUUUUGUUUCCCUAUUUAGUCACAACAUGCUUAUGAUUCCUCUUAUCUAAUUAAGUAUUCUUGAGCCAAAAUGAAUACAACCUUUGUUUUGAAGGCAUAACUGUGUUGCUUUCUGAGACUCAAAGAAUAAAGCCUCUUUAAAUGGCUGCUGUUUUGGUUUGGAAGCUAAUGACAACCAAAGAAAAAUUAUGCAUCAAAUGUAAGUCACCAUCUUUGCAAUCAGCCUGUACCUUCCUAGAGAUCAAAAUCUACAAUUUUGUUGUAAACUUUACUUUUCCAACUUAAUUUGGAUUAUUUCUGGGCAUUCAGUUUUUUCUUUACCAAAGGCUUGAUAUACAACCAUGAAAACCCCAUUCUUCUUAGUUUAAUUGAAUUGUAUGGAUUGAGUUGAAUGUUUUAAAUCAAGUGUGCCCCCUAACAGAUGAACAUGGAGAAAGGCAGGAAAUGGCUACAUGCCUAGUUACCCUAGAGGCACAUUUAGAGUUGUGUUGUGUAAUACCUGUGGUUGGAGAAGCCCUUGCCACAAAGAACCUGGGUUACUCUAUGGUCUGUUUACUUUUCAUAAACCUUUACCAAGUGCAUUUCAAAAAUAGACCAUCCUAGAUAGCUUAAGAUCUGAAGCCAUUCUUAUCACUAGGGAAUGAAAGACAUUUCACUGUGAAAAAAAAUGAUGUAACAAACUUCAACUCUACUUCUCUUGAGUAUUUUCAACAAGAAUACCACCCCCAAGUCUGUCAGAGGUGAUAAGAAAAGAAGGUAGAAAAGUACCUGUACCUGGUCUAAUAAGAUGUCUGGUGCCAUCUUAAAAGCUGGACUCGUGGUUCUUUAUUGGCUCUUGGUUUAGGCUCAAAGGUUUGAUUCAUUGCAUGUUUAUCAUUUUAGGGUUUUCUCAUUGUCAGCGAUUUAAUUAGUAACUCCCUUAAAAAUUGUUUCAGAUAUCCUACAUACAUCUCCUGAACCAGAAGAAAAAUUCUUCAUGGUUUCUUUUUAGCAUUACAUUCAGGUUUCUUCUCUCCUACCUCCUCCAAGGUCUUCCUGACAGUCUUAAACCCAUACACACACAAACACAGACACAUACAUCUAUGGUCUUUAUUCUUAAAGCAAUUCUAGCCUACUGAAUACAGGGCAUAAAAACCUAGUAUAAGUAGACCAAACAUUGGACAUAAAGAAUCUCUAACCAUUUAUCCCUGUGAACUAGCAGCAAGAACAACAAAAGCCACUUAUUAAGCUGUUUAUUCUGAGUUAGCCUUUGCUAGUGAGAAGCUGAAACUUUAUACGGAACUUUAAAUGAAAUUUGGACCAUUAUAAAUGUUAUCCUCAAAAUUGUGCUAAUGUUUACUAAACAAUAAUGCCACAAGUCAAAAUUAACUUUUGACCUCUGCCAGUUAGCACAGUCUAGUGUCAAGAGGAUGGGCACCAGCUGCACUAAAUUAAGGCUGUGCCUUCUUAUGCAAAAAUCUUUCUGAGUCUUAGUUUCCUAAAACGGAAUACGAAAAUACUAAACCUGCCUGGCAGAGUUAUUGUAAAGGUUUUUUAAAGACUAUAGAUAAUAUGCAAUAAACCUACCUAAUAUUACAAAUCAAAUAGAUCUGAAGUAAAGAAAAAUACUCACAUUGUGAAACUGAGUAGAGGCAAAUCAUUUACAAACUCACCAUGCUCCCCAAUGGAAUUUCACAGAAAGACCCCAAUAAGCUCGUCCUUCUGAGAACACUUUCUUAUACUGUGUUUUCUCACAUACUCUUUCUCUCAUACCACUCUUCUAUUUUUACACUGUGUAGAGAUCAUCAUUAUCUGUGUUUUCUAUAACUAGUCCUUCUAGUUACCGUCACAGACAGCUUAUGACCUUGUGACCGGGAGACUUUCAAUACAAAAAAGAGAAUAUUAAUUGCAGGCUCAUGAUUUGCCAGAAACCACCAAAAGUGCUUAUUGUUUAUAUAGCACCUUUCCUUUAUGUACUUCAUAUUUAUGGACAAAGAUGUUUAAGGAUGAUGCUAAAAAUUCCUUAGUCACCAUGGGCUAGGUGAAGCCAAUGAUCUCAAUGUUAUAAUUGAAGAUGUGGGAGAUGAAAAAAUGAAGAUAGAUGGGAUAGUCCCUCCUGGUUAAAGAGAAUAUAAGCUGGGCACUUAGAGAGAUGCAGUCUCUAAACUGUGUGCCUGGGUACAGACACAGCUCUCAGCCAUCAUUAGCGCCUUUCCCAGCAUGUGGCAUGGAGUAUCCAGUGAAUGUGAGCAAAGGAAAAAACAGAAGCAGACUGAUUAUUAGACUCUGAAGGAAGGUUCAUAUACCUACACUUGCACCAAAACAGAAAUUAUAUAUAAUCAGCAAGCAUAAAUUAACAUUUUUUCCUGGAAAUUCAAAUAUUAAUGACACCAAGACCCACUCAUACUGUCUGCCUCCCUCUCUGCUUGGACUUAGCCUGGAACAAGAAUUGCACACAGUGGAUAUUGAAUGAAAGUUCUCUGCUUCUGCAUAUUUUUAGAAGGAAACAGAAAAAAACAAGGUGCAAAGAUAAAAUGUUUUUAUUCAGGUUUUCUCAAGGGCUUAUAGAAAGGUCACAUUCAUUUGGAAGCAGUACAAGCUUCUAGAGACAAUGCUCAUGUCACCAUUAGGAAAAAACAUAUAAGAAAAAUAUAUUAAGGAAAAGAAAAAAAAGUCUUGCCCAAGGCAAUCCUUUCAAAAUCUGAUGACAAAUGUCAUAGUACUAUUGGACUUGUGGAAUAAGCUACAUUUUAAAAUG